GGCGCGCUGGCCUAUCUGCUGGGGUCGGCGCUGGGCGCGUCGGCCGGCUCGCUCGAGCUGUUCUACGCCGCGCGCGUCA
rnacentral:tRNA from 2 species